AGGGUUGUGAAAUUUGGGGCUCACACCUGGGGUCAGGGUUAUUCAUAUCAAGCUUGUGUCCGAUUCUGUAGAAAGCAGGGAACCGCAGCCACCCCAAGCUACAAUCAAGGUCUGCUUCAACGUGGGUUAUUCCGUAAAGAGAGAGGCCAGACCACUGUGAGUCCUGAGAGAGGGCACGGCCAGACCCAUCAGAUGGAAGCUGCGAGGAGACCAAUUUAGACGUGAUUGGGGAGCUGUGGCGGAGGUUGACUUUGAUGGCCGCUGUGAAAAUGCUUUGCACAGUAAGGGUGACAAGAGCUAACAAUUACUGACUCCCAGCUGAGAAUAUGAAGGGGUUUUCCACAUGCAGUCUCAUUUCAUCCUUACAUCAACUGUUUCUGGUGCCAGUCAAGAAAAGCUACAACGUCCAGUGGGAUGUAAACAUCACGCUGGAUUUUCAUACCGCCUCAGAGAAUGGCCUCGUUCUGGAUAUUAGCAUUGCCAAAGUGGAUGCCAUUGUAUUAGAGAUUGUAAUUGGCAAGGGGAAUCUUCUGAUAAAGGAAGACCGCUUCGGGGAACAAACACACCCCCAAAUGAGAAGGCAUCAGUAUACCAGAAACCCGCGCAGUCUGAACAGACACGGAGUUCUUACGGAUCGUCAGGUCCUCUGAGGUCGCGGCUGGGCUUUAAUGCUGGCCUUACCCUCAGUCUCCUGUAUUUCAUCACUGUAUCCCCACCUCCGCGGUCACAGCGGAACCUUCAAUAGCCUCAUGCCCACCGGCGAGCUUUUUGAGGAGCACCGAAGUGUGAGGAACUCUUUCGCAAAUUGUGUUCGUUCUUCCACAGACCAGGCCCAGGUAUUGACCUGGGACUUCCGUUCUCCUCCGUGUGUGGAUUUUCCUGACUUCAGACAAUUGUCCUUGGUAGACCUCAGUGACAGCUGAUUCAGGAUCGGUGAUGAGCUGGUCGUAGCUGACACAGGCCGAAAAGAAUUCCUAUAGUAAAUGUGAGAGUUCACGCAGUUUCUCCA